CGAAAUCUUAUGAUUAUAUAUUUUAUAGUUUUGAACUUUAAAUUAUUGAGAGGACCUCUUAAUUAAAUAAAAUUUAAGUAUAGAAAUUAUAGAUCGGAAAAGAUUAUAUCUGAUUUGUGAAGAAAUUUACCAAAAUACAUUUAAAGGUUAAUUUUUUAAAUGCAUGAAAAGAAAAAAAGAUAAUUUUUCAAAAUAGUGACUAAGAUGAGAAGUGUCUAAGAAUAAAUAGUGUUAAAACUUUAUUUUAAUAAUCAUUUUCUUUCUAGGGUAUUCAUUCAAGAUAAUUUUUCCAAAUAUUGAUAGAAUAAGUAUAUUUUAUUAAAUCCACAUGAACUCGAUACUUUUACAACUGUUUAUCAAAAACAUCUCCUUUAGUAUAUAUUUAAAGGUAUGACCUGCUCCAUGUGAAUUAUAAAUAGCUGCGGUAUCUUAACUGCACUAAGGUAGCAUAAUUAAUUGUCUUUUAAAUGGUGACUUGUUUGAAUGGUUUUAUGAGAAAAGAAUUUUUAUUUGGUUUUAAUGGAAAUUAUAUAUUAAGGUAAAAAUACCUAAAAUAUAAAGAAAGACGAGAAGACCCUGUUGAGUUUUACAAUUAAAUUUGUUUGAAUGGGAAAUUUAAUUUUUUUAUAAAAUUUCUUUGAUCCUACAAGAUGUUGGAAAUAGGAUAAAAUUACCACAGGGAUAACAGGAUUAUAUUUUCUGAGAGUUCGAAUCGAAGAAAAUGAUUAUUACCUC
rnacentral:rRNA from 1 species